UGCUUGUAGAAGAGUCAUGCCAUUUAAGUUUGGAUGAAGUUCUAGAAGGAAACGACAGUUCCCCCUAUAUUAAGGAAACCAAUGAAUUAUCACAGCAUAGUAAACUGAGAAAGAUUGUGUUUGUGAGCUACAGUUAGAACACAACUGCUGUUCACAAAUAGGAAGAGAUAGACCCCAAUCAGAUGUAACAAGACCACAAGUCAGUUCCAAGUUUCACCACAUUUUGCAUACACCAAUAUGAGGCUGGAGAACCAGAGAGAGUUCAAGAGCACUCUAAAACUGAUGCUGAUAAAGCCAGGAAUAAUCAGGUGGAGAUUCCUUGAAGUGGAUUCAGGAUUGUUGGCUGCUGCAAAGAGGUUCUGAGUGUUCACUACAGUAUUUGUGUAUUUGCAUGGGAAUUGCUGGUGCUAUGUACUCUUAUGUUCAAGUCACUGCUGAUAUGGGUAUAUAUGUACUAAGAGAGCUACAAGUGUUAAUGCAUAUUGAUUCCAGUCUUAGUUAAACUUUAAAGGGACACUCCAGGCACCCAGACCACUUCUGCCCAUUGGAGUGGUCUGGGUGCCAACUCACACUACCCUUAACUCUGCAACUGUAAAUAUUACAGUUUUCAUAAACUGCAAUAUUUACCUUGCAGGUUUAACUCCUCCUCUAGUGGCUGUCUUCCAGCCACUAGAGGGCACUUCCGGGUUUAUAGCACACAUUUUGUGUGCUAUAGCGUCGCUGGACAUCCUCACGCUAUGUGAGACCUCCAGCGUCGCUGAAAUCCCCAUAGGAAAGCAUUGAAAGCAUUUUUCAAUGCUUUCCUAUGGGGAGGUCUAAUGCGCGGCGUAAUGAUAUGUAUCAUAUACCACAUUAUCUGUUAGAUAAGGCUAACUGAUUUAAGUAACAAAAUGGCAGUACAGGGUCAGUCUACCGUGUGUGACAAUGGAAAUAUAGAAUGAAUUGUGCAGUUACAAAAAACUACACUCAAUCCAUUACCCAAUGUGUUUAGAAACAGUGCAAAAGCCAGAAACCCAAAUAUGUGUAGAGACACAAUUAGCAGAAAUAUAUAAACCUCUUCAAUUAGAGUAAAGGAAAAGUCACAGAGCCUGUACAAUUACUGAAAAUGGUAGAGAACGUGUCAGACCCCCACUCUCCCUCAUCCAUAUCUCAUGCUCCCUCGCCACAUCUUCUCCUAUCUUCCCGGUGGGUCUCUUUCUUUCCAUCACAGGUGGUGCCAUAUGUGACCCAUGAAUCGUAGGAGAGAGCCCCCUUCAUUUUGGCCUGGCUGAUGGACAGAGACUCGAGGAGGACCAGCCUCCUUAGGCGCACUCGUGCCAGAGCAAUGCCCUCUUAAAGGGAGAGGGGGUAGUCCAGAGCUGGGUGUGUGUGGGAGGUGGGAGUGACAUGGGAGAGCAUGCCCUACCAUAUAUAAUAGCAUUGCUCCUUUUCCUCAACUCUCAGUUAUAAUGUGCUCAUAGUGGUGUUAACUUCCUUUCCUGCUGUGCCUGGUAUUUGAUACCUGGUAUUUGACCCUUGCUUUUUUAGCUGUUUAAAAACCUGUGCCACCUAACCUUCAGCAUCCCUGACUAUGCUUUUGUCUGACCUUCAACUGUACCAAAUGACUGAUCCAUUCAUUGAGCUCGAAGAUAUGCUUAACUGACAAGAUGUGUCCAGUUUGACCGAAGAGGUGCAAGAGCUAAAGUCCCAGGCAAUUGCCACUAUACCUGGGAUACUACGACUACCUGUAUCAGCACACAUGAUACCCCUUCCUAAAGAUUGGUCCAUGGCACCAGAACCACAAAUCCCAAUGCCAGAAAGAUUCAUGAGAGACAGGUCCAAGUACUGUUCGUUCAGUAUGUCCUGUGAACUGAUUGUGGCGAAACCAACCUCGCCACUGUGAACUGGAGAAGCCUGGUUGCUCGCCUGCUCCCUUUGGACUAUGGCCCUGCAGGUUAAACCGUUUAUUUCCCCUGCAGAAAGGCUUAUUUGUGUGAUCUGAGUGCCAUUCAUCUAAUAAUGUGCACUCAGAUCCCAGCUAUCUGGGGAUAUGUGAAAAUCUGUGUGUUAUGUGUAAAUGUGACUUUAUGUAUUUUAAAGUGUUUUGUGUUUUUGCAACCAUGUGCUUAAUGGAGUCUUGUGUCUGUCGGAGAUAAUUGAAUUACUCUCCAGGAUAGAAGACUCUGAAACUGGUUUGGGCCAGAAAGCCAUGCUUCAUUUAGUCACAAAGGACUUUCCCUUAACUUUUGAACCCCUGGUCUGAUUCGUGCCAUUUUUUAAUAUGUUGUUGCCCUGAAUGGACUGAUUAUGAAAAUGUAUGUUUUAUGUUUGUGACAUGUAUAUUUUAGAAGUUAUAAAUAUUGUGUAAAAACUGUAUUCCUCUGCCGGUGAUAAUGAGAUUACCCAUUGUGUUCAGUAAUCAUAUCACCUGCAGAGGGGAGGAUUUUGUGUGGGAGUGUCUGGGUGUAUUGUACGGAUUGAUUGGUUGUUUUGUAACGCCCUGUGGGCUGUACUAUGUUUUGUGGAUUGUAAUAAAAACCAGGCUGGGUGUGCCAGCACUUGAGUUCCUGUUUUAACCCUCAAAGUGAAGUGUCGUCUCAUUAUUGGGGGAAGGAUUUAUUGUAUGCUGUUCCAGUUUGACUGCUAGGAGAGUAAACCUAUUCGUAUGGUUCCUAUUCAACUGUCUACAGCAUUCAUAUGCUUGAGAGGAUUCAUAUGCUUCUCCGGUUCGGUGGUUGUGGUGUCUGCUGCAGUGCUUGGAGUCCUCAGGAAGCGCUAGGAGCAUCCUUCAACGGAGGUACCCAGUCGGGGUGCCAGGCGAUCCGUUACAUUGGUGGCAAGCGACGGGAUCAUUUCCACAGCCCAGAAGGACAGCUAUAAUACAACACCAGUUCCUGGAUUACAAAUUGAGGGCAACGCCAGUACCCGUACAGCGACCCUAUCUACAAAAGAACCAACUUCAGCAGCGCAAGCAUGGCACCCAGCUACACUCAGGAGCAGUAUGACAGAGAGUUUACCAUGCGGCUGGCUUUCUUUGGACCCAACCCCCCGGAGAAAUACGUGCAGCUCGUAAGGAGCCAGGUAGACGAGUACCUGCAGUUCAUGGCAGAUCCAGCCAAAGGUAUCAGCCGCCCUAUCCGGUGGCAGAGUGCGUUACGGGGACUCAAAGGUGUACCCCAGGGAGCUGAAGGUGUCGUCCUUCCUCCCCAGCGGCAGUGUGUAUCCCAGGGAGCUGAAGGUGCAGUCCUUCCUCCCCAGCGGCAGUGUGUAUCCCAGGGAGCUGAAGGUGUCGUCCUUCCUCCCCAGCGGCAGUGUGUGUCCCAGGGAGCUGAAGGUGCAGUCCUUCCUCCCCAGCGGCAGUGUGUAUCCCAGGGAGCUGAAGGUGCAGUCCUUCCUCCCCAGCGGCAGUGUGUAUCCCAGGGAGCUGAAGGUGCAGUCCUUCCUCCCCAGCGGCAGUGUGUAUCCCAGGGAGCUGAAGGUGCAGUCCUUCCUCCCCAGCGGCAGUGUGUAUCCCAGGGAGCUGAAGGUGCAGUCCUUCCUCCCCAGCGGCAGUGUGUAUCCCAGGGAGCUGAAGGUGUCGCCCUUCCUCCCCAGCGGCAGUGUGUGUUCUUAGGAGAGGAGAUAGUUGGUCCCUCUCCCCAGCGGUCAAGUGAGUCCCAGGGAGUUGAAGGUGUCAUCCUUCCUCCCCAGCGGCAGAUUGUAUGCCAGGGAGCUGAAGGUGUCGUCCUUCCUCCCCAGCGGCAGAGUGUCCUGCAGGGAGCAGAGACCGUCAGUCUCGCACCCCAGCAGCAGGACAAAAUAUUGAAAGGGGAGACAGCUGGUCCCCCUCACCACCAGCAGAGAGAGUGUCACGGAGAGGAGCCUGCUACCCCCUCUCCCCAGCGGCAGGUUACAGUUCAGAGAGAGGAGCUUGUUACACCCUCUCUCCAGCGGCAGCCUAACCCACCAAGGGGAGAUGUUACACCCCCCAACAGUGCAGAUGGGACCGUAGUCUUUGCACUUGCAGCACAAGAGGUAGGGACGGUCGGUCCUGUCCCCCAGCCCCAGAGCUGUGUACCCAGAGGGGAGACGGUCGGUCUCCCCCUCCCACAACCAGGCUCCAACCAGGCUACUUCAGUGGUAGCGCUGGCACCAGGGCAGAGUACCGCUGGUCUCUGCCCACUCAGCAACCCACCAAGGCAGUCUACCAGCUCCCCGCACAGCCGUGGUGAGGAACCUGGACCUGGACAAGCUGCUACUUUAUCCAGGUGGGGUAAACAUUUAUUGUGGGUGGGAGGUACUGCUGUUUGUGCUUCGUGGGUGGGUUGCUGGACUAACCAGGGCACUGACCGGCAGGAGGUCAGAUACCCUGUUAGUCUGGAUGGUAAAGGGGAGAAUGUGCGAAAGCAACCUCGCCACUGUGAACUGGAAGCCUGGUUGCUCGCCUGCUCCCUUUGGACUAUGGCCCUGCAGGUUAAACCGUUUAUUUCCCCUGCAGAAAGGCUUAUUUGUGUGAUCUGAGUGCCAUUCAUCUAAUAAUGUGCACUCAGAUCCCAGCUAUCUGGGGAUAUGUGAAAUGUCUGUGUGUUAUGUGUAAAUGUGACUUUAUGUAUUUUAAAGUGUUUUGUGUCUUUUUGCAACCAUGUGCUUAAUGGAGUCUUGUGUCUGUCCUGGGAGAUAAUUGAAUUACUUAUCUCCAGGAUAGAAGACUCUGAAACUGGUUUGGGCCAGAAAGCCAUGCUUCAUUUAGUCACAAAGGACUUUCCCUUAACUUUUGAACCCCUGGUCUGAUUCGUGCCAUUUUUUAAUAUGUUGUUGCCCUGAAUGGACUGAUUAUGAAAAUGUAUGUUUUAUGUUUGUGACAUGUAUAUUUUAGAAGUUAUAAAUAUUGUGUAAAAACUGUAUUCCUCUGCCGGUGAUAAUGAGAUUACCCAUUGUGUUCAGUAAUCAUAUCACCUGCAGAGGGGAGGAUUUUGUGUGGGAGUGUCUGGGUGUAUUGUACGGAUUGAUUGGUUGUUUUGUAACACCCUGUGGGCUGUACUAUGUUUUGUGGAUUGUAAUAAAAACCAGGCUGGGUGUGCCAGCACUUGAGUUCCUGUUUUAACCCUCAAAGUGAAGUGUCGUCUCAUUAUUGGGGGAAGGAUUUAUUGUAUGCUGUUCCAGUUUGACUGCUAGGAGAGUAAACCUAUUCGUAUGGUUCCUAUUCAACUGUCUACAGCAUUCAUAUGCUUGAGAGGAUUCAAAUGCUUCUCCGGUUCGGUGGUUGUGGUGUCUGCUGCAGUGCUUGGAGUUCUCAGGAAGCGCUAGGAGCAUCUUUCAACGGAGGUACCCAGUCGGGGUGCCAGGCGAUCCGUUACACUGAUGUUUGACCUAAAUCCCCACAUAUAUCACUCAGAGGCCAUCAAAUUGCAUACUGUAUCCCUUCUCUGUGGUCCUUCAAAGGAAUGGGCACAUGACCUAUUAUAUGCCAAUGACCCCAGCAUCCAAACAUGGGAUUUCUUUGUAUCAAUCAUUUCCUAAAUGUAUGAUGACUAGAACUACAGGAAAUGGCUCAAACUUCCAUCAGAGCAUUACAUCAAGGCCACAGACCAUUAGAGAUAACAUAACUCACUUUAAAAGAUACACCACUGGUACCUAAUGGAACGUAAUUGGACCGAUACUGUGGAUGUCAUCACAACACCUUGAGAACAUGUUCAGAGAAGAACAGAACCACCACAGAACAGCCCUUUCACUCAUGACAUCCACACUUUUCACCACAACUCCUUCUUUAAAAUAAGUGUAUAUAUGGUGAAAAAAACAAUAUAAGACAAAGUGCUACAAUCACCAGCAAUGUGGGUCACUCCACCUCACAUAAAUAAAUGGUUAAAACAGUAAAAAAUGGUGAGAGCACAGAGAAACAAUAAUUACCCUUAUAUUCAAUAUAAAACCUGUAAAAACACAAUGGGAAAAACAGGCAUAGGGUAAUAACGUACAAAUAAUAUAUGAAUGAGUAAAUACUUGAAUAAACUCACAUAUUCAUGAGCCACUUAAUAUGGAAGCUGGCUCAGACUAGGAACAUUGAAUGGAUUAGUGAGGUGGUUGUUGUAAUCCAACUGCUUAAUUGCUUGCUCCUUCUUGCUUUACAAAAUCCAGGAUGCAGGAUCUUUAAUGAAAAACUUUUAUUCGGUAUAGCAGCAAAAAAAGACAGCAGCAGUAAAAAUUAAAAUUCAGCAAUUCCACCUCUGCACACUAACGCGUUUCAGCCAAAGCCUUUAUCAAAGUGUGAGUCCAUUCAGUCAGUUCCAUUUUUAAAUAGGCAAAUUUUCGCGCCUUUUUUCGGAAAUAAGCUCCUCCCCUUUUUUUUUUUUUUGUUGCAACUUUAUUGGGCAUCCUAGCAUCCUUAACGAUCUCAAUUUACUUCCAUGUUCAUUGAAGAAAAGGAACAGCGAACUAGUCCAUUCACUUAAACAGUCUUUCAUGUUGCAAUAAUCAGAGUCCUAUUGGCAACAUACUUCAUACAUAUUGUCAAUAACAUUAAAACAAAUAUUAUAGUCAGAUAUUCUUAUUGCAAUACGUAGAAUAUUAGCAACAGUUAAACUCUCUCUUUCUCAAAAAAAGGAUUAAAAAAGGUAAAAGAGAGGCAAAAGAAGAGGGAAUAAAUUUAAAAGGGAAAUAAAAGAUCAAAAUAGAAAAAUCUUCUUAUUCACAUUUAAAGGUAUAUCGGGAGAAUGCAUCAUACUUAAAAUACACUUAUUAUAAUCAAUAUUUAUAAAAUAUUAAUCAGUAUUACUAAAAUUAGAAUUAAAAAAUAUCUUAUUAAUAUAAAACAACCUAAAAUAAUCUCCAAUAGAUUUAAUAAAUAAUUAUAGUUAAAUAUAAGUAUUAAUUUCAAAAUCUACGUUUAAUCCCCCCGGUGUAAGUGUAUCCAAAUUAAAAAUCCAUUUCAUCUCAUUUUUGCUUAAAAGAUUAUCCUUAUCACCCCCUCUCCAGUGUAUUUUAAUAUGAUCUAUUGCAAAAAAAUCCAGGCCUGCUGGGUCUCCAUCAUGAUAUUCCAAAAAAUGUUUAGAUAAACAAUGGUUAGGGAAUCUUCUCCUGAUGUUGUAUAUAUGCUCCCUAAUUCGUAUUUUUAAUGAACGAGACGUUUUCCCUACAUAUUGUAACCCGCAGGGACAUGUUAUCAUAUAAACAACAUCAGCAGUAUUGCAUGUGAUAAAGUGUUUAAUUUCAUAUUCUGUUUUAGUAUUAAAAGAAAUGAAUUUAAAAAUUCUUCUAUUUUUCCCAGCUCUUACUUUACACCCUCUACAAUUUCCACAAUAGAAGAAUCCUUUCUGUUCCUUUAAAAAGUUAUUGGAACAUUCUUUCUUUUCUUUCUCUUGGAAGCUGCUAGUUAAAAUUUGCUUAAAAUUUCUAGCGCCUCUAAAAAUUAAUUUAGCUUUUUCUCCUAUUAGUGGGCGUAACUCAUCAUCUAACUUUAAAACAUGCCAAUUUUUAUCAAUAAUUUUACGUAAAGUGCGGUUGUUAGAAUUAAAAUUAAAAAUUAAUGGGAUAGUUUCUAGUCCUUCUUUUUUAGCUUGCUUAUCUUUAUAUUUCAAAAUUUCUAAACGGUCUUCCUCUUUUACCUGUUUAUAGGCUUUUUCUAGAAUAUUUUUAUCAUAUCCCUUUUCUAAAAAUUGUUUUUCUAAAAUUUUAACCUGAUCGUUAAAAUCCCGUUCAUCUGUACAAUUUCUCUUCAACCUUAAAAAUUGUCCUUUUGGUAUGUUUGAUAACCAUGGUUUAAAAUGGCAGCUGGAAAAAUCAAUAAAACUAUUAACAUCUACAGAUUUAAAAUAUGUCCGACUCUUAAUUACACCAUUAUCUAUAAAAAUAUCUAAAUCUAAAAAGUUAAUAUUUGAGGGGCUAAUGACAUGGGUCAGCUUAAUAUUCCACAUAUUAUUGUUAAGAGAAUCAAUAAAAUCUAGUAAAGAUUUGGAACUGCCUCUCCAUAUAAUAAAAAUAUCAUCUAUAUAUCUUUUAUAGAGGACCAGACUUGCCCCUAUGUCCAACCUAGAAAAAACAUAUUUUUCUUCCCAAAAUGACAUAAAAAGGUUGGCAUAACUCGGGGCAAAUCUGGUCCCCAUGGCAGUUCCCUUGGUUUGAAGGUAAAAGUCAUUUUCAAACCAAAAAAAAUUGUUUUUAAGAAUCAUAUUAAGAAUCAUAUUGAUCCCCUGCACAAUAAAAUCGAUUUGUGUUUCUAUAAAAUUACCAGAUUUAUUUAAAAAAUGUCUAGUAGCCUCACACCCUACCCCAUGUUCAAUAUUAGUGUAGAGGCUACUGACAUCACAAGUAGCCAUUAUAAAGGAAUCUUCCCAUUUAAAAUUAUUUAAAAUUUGUAAAAGGCUAAUAGUAUCUUUUAGAUAUGCCGGACAUUUGGGGACUAAGUCUUGUAAAAAAUGAUCUAUAUACUGGGAGAGCGGUGAUAAGAGAGAUCCACUUCCAGAUACAAUUGGUCUCCCUGGUGGAUUAACAGGAUCUUUAUGCAUCUUAGGUAAAACAUAGAUCACCGGAAUUCUAGGGAAUUUGACGUCUAAAAACUCGUAUUCCUUCUUAGUUAAAAUACCCUCAUUAAAACCUUUAUCUAAAAAAUGUUUAUAAGUGGUUUUAAUUUUUUCUAAAGGAUUAUUGCCGAGUUUAAUAUAGGUGUCCGAAUCUUCCAAUUGUUUAUGAAUUUCCUUUAGAUAAUCUUCUUUUUUCCAGAUCACUACCCCUCCCCCUUUAUCCGCAGGUUUUACCACUAUUGUUUUGUCCUUCUUGAUAUCUUGAAAGGCCAUGACUUCCUUUCUAGUUAAAUUAUCUGGCUUAUUUCCUCUCGUUUUAAUUUCUCUUAAAUCUUUGAGGCAUAAUUUUUCGAAAAUUUUCAUAUGGUCAGUUUUAAGAUGGCUAGGAUAAAACUUAGAUUUUUUCUUAAAAUCUGUGUGUUUAAAAAGAUUGUCAUCUAGUUUAUCAUUUUUUUCUUUAUUCCCCUCAAAUUUAUUAAAAAACUUCUUCAAACAUAAUUUUCUAAAAAAACGAUGAAUAUCUAAAAACGUUUCAAAUUUAUCUAUUUCACACGCAGGGGCAUAUUUAAAGCCCUUGCCUAAAACUUGUUCAUGAAUCGGUGUCAAACAUUUAUCAGAUAAAUUAAAAAUCCUUAUUUUCUGUUCAUUCUUUAUGAGUGCUAUGUCCUCAAUAUCCUUUCCUCUUUUCUCCUUUUGUUUAUUUUUUUGAAUUCUGGUACCUCCUCUUCUAUUUCUCUUAUCCUUUUUACUGGGGUCUGUAUUUUCUUCCUUCUGUCUGAAAGUCUUGACAUUGUUACCCCUAAAAAAGAUUCUUCCUCUUCUAUAUUUUUUAAUCUCUCGAAACGAUUUGAUAACGGAAUAGUUGGUAUUUCUUUUCUUAUUAUUUUAUUAUUUUCUCUAUUUUGAAAAUUUUGUUUCCUAGUUUUUACUUCCGUCCAAUCGUUAGUUAGUUUUUUUCCUUUUUUUGAUAUUAUAGGACUUUCCCUAUUUUGGGAUGGAUUAUGUUGUGGUAAAACAUUUUUAUCAUAUUUCAUAAACACCGAUUCAUGACACCGAUUCAUGAACAAGUUUUAGGCAAGGGCUUUAAAUAUGCCCCUGCGUGUGAAAUAGAUAAAUUUGAAACGUUUUUAGAUAUUCAUCGUUUUUUUAGAAAAUUAUGUUUGAAGAAGUUUUUUAAUAAAUUUGAGGGGAAUAAAGAAAAAAAUGAUAAACUAGAUGACAAUCUUUUUAAACACACAGAUUUUAAGAAAAAAUCUAAGUUUUAUCCUAGCCAUCUUAAAACUGACCAUAUGAAAAUUUUCGAAAAAUUAUGCCUCAAAGAUUUAAGAGAAAUUAAAACGAGAGGAAAUAAGCCAGAUAAUUUAACUAGAAAGGAAGUCAUGGCCCUUCAAGAUAUCAAGAAGGACAAAACAAUAGUGGUAAAACCUGCGGAUAAAGGGGGAGGGGUAGUGAUCUGGAAAAAAAAAGAUUAUCUAAAGGAAAUUCAUAAACAAUUGGAAGAUUCGGACACCUAUAUUAAACUCGGCAAUAAUCCUUUAGAAAAAAUUAAAACCACUUAUAAACAUUUUUUAGAUAAAGGUUUUAAUGAGGGUAUUUUAACUAAGAAGGAAUACGAGUUUUUAGACGUCAAAUUCCCUAGAAUUCCGGUGAUCUAUGUUUUACCUAAGAUGCAUAAAGAUCCUGUUAAUCCACCAGGGAGACCAAUUGUAUCUGGAAUUGGAUCUCUCUUAUCACCGCUCUCCCAGUAUAUAGAUCAUUUUUUACAAGACUUAGUCCCCAAAUGUCCGGCAUAUCUAAAAGAUACUAUUAGCCUUUUACAAAUUUUAAAUAAUUUUAAAUGGGAAGAUUCCUUUAUAAUGGCUACUUGUGAUGUCAGUAGCCUCUACACUAAUAUUGAACAUGGGGUAGGGUGUGAGGCUACUAGACAUUUUUUAAAUAAAUCUGGUAAUUUUAUAGAAACACAAAUCGAUUUUAUUGUGCAGGGGAUCAAUAUGAUUCUUAAUAUGAUUCUUAAAAACAAUUUUUUUUGGUUUGAAAAUGACUUUUACCUUCAAACCAAGGGAACUGCCAUGGGGACCAGAUUUGCCCCGAGUUAUGCCAACCUUUUUAUGUCAUUUUGGGAAGAAAAAUAUGUUUUUUCUAGGUUGGACAUAGGGGCAAGUCUGGUCCUCUAUAAAAGAUAUAUAGAUGAUAUUUUUAUUAUAUGGAGAGGCAGUUCCAAAUCUUUACUAGAUUUUAUUGAUUCUCUUAACAAUAAUAUGUGGAAUAUUAAGCUGACCCAUGUCAUUAGCCCCUCAAAUAUUAACUUUUUAGAUUUAGAUAUUUUUAUAGAUAAUGGUGUAAUUAAGAGUCGGACAUAUUUUAAAUCUGUAGAUGUUAAUAGUUUUAUUGAUUUUUCCAGCUGCCAUUUUAAGCCAUGGUUAUCAAACAUACCAAAAGGACAAUUUUUAAGGUUGAAGAGAAAUUGUACAGAUGAACGGGAUUUUAACGAUCAGGUUAAAAUUUUAGAAAAACAAUUUUUAGAAAAGGGAUAUGAUAAAAAUAUUCUAGAAAAAGCCUAUAAACAGGUAAAAGAGGAAGACCGUUUAGAAAUUUUGAAAUAUAAAGAUAAGCAAGCUAAAAAAGAAGGACUAGAAACUAUCCCAUUAAUUUUUAAUUUUAAUUCUAACAACCGCACUUUACGUAAAAUUAUUGAUAAAAAUUGGCAUGUUUUAAAGUUAGAUGAUGAGUUACGCCCACUAAUAGGAGAAAAAGCUAAAUUAAUUUUUAGAGGCGCUAGAAAUUUUAAGCAAAUUUUAACUAGCAGCUUCCAAGAGAAAGAAAAGAAAGAAUGUUCCAAUAACUUUUUAAAGGAACAGAAAGGAUUCUUCUAUUGUGGAAAUUGUAGAGGGUGUAAAGUAAGAGCUGGGAAAAAUAGAAGAAUUUUUAAAUUCAUUUCUUUUAAUACUAAAACAGAAUAUGAAAUUAAACACUUUAUCACAUGCAAUACUGCUGAUGUUGUUUAUAUGAUAACAUGUCCCUGCGGGUUACAAUAUGUAGGGAAAACGUCUCGUUCAUUAAAAAUACGAAUUAGGGAGCAUAUAUACAACAUCAGGAGAAGAUUCCCUAACCAUUGUUUAUCUAAACAUUUUUUGGAAUAUCAUGAUGGAGACCCAGCAGGCCUGGAUUUUUUUGCAAUAGAUCAUAUUAAAAUACACUGGAGAGGGGGUGAUAAGGAUAAUCUUUUAAGCAAAAAUGAGAUGAAAUGGAUUUUUAAUUUGGAUACACUUACACCGGGGGGAUUAAACGUAGAUUUUGAAAUUAAUACUUAUAUUUAACUAUAAUUAUUUAUUAAAUCUAUUGGAGAUUAUUUUAGGUUGUUUUAUAUUAAUAAGAUAUUUUUUAAUUCUAAUUUUAGUAAUACUGAUUAAUAUUUUAUAAAUAUUGAUUAUAAUAAGUGUAUUUUAAGUAUGAUGCAUUCUCCCGAUAUACCUUUAAAUGUGAAUAAGAAGAUUUUUCUAUUUUGAUCUUUUAUUUCCCUUUUAAAUUUAUUCCCUCUUCUUUUGCCUCUCUUUUACCUUUUUUUAAUCCUUUUUUUGAGAAAGAGAGAGUUUAACUGUUGCUAAUAUUCUACGUAUUGCAAUAAGAAUAUCUGACUAUAAUAUUUGUUUUAAUGUUAUUGACAAUAUGUAUGAAGUAUGUUGCCAAUAGGACUCUGAUUAUUGCAACAUGAAAGACUGUUUAAGUGAAUGGACUAGUUCGCUGUUCCUUUUCUUCAAUGAACAUGGAAGUAAAUUGAGAUCGUUAAGGAUGCUAGGAUGCCCAAUAAAGUUGCAACACAAAAAAAAAAAAAAGGGGAGGAGCUUAUUUCCGAAAAAAGGCGCGAAAAUUUGCCUAUUUAAAAAUGGAACUGACUGAAUGGACUCACACUUUGAUAAAGGCUUUGGCUGAAACGCGUUAGUGUGCAGAGGUGGAAUUGCUGAAUUUUAAUUUUUACUGCUGCUGUCUUUUUUUGCUGCUAUACCGAAUAAAGGUUUUCAUUAAAGAUCCUGCAUCCUGGAUUUUGUAAAGCAAGAAGGAGCAAGCAAUUAAGCAGUUGGAUUACAACAACCACCUCACUAAUCCAUUCAAUGUUCCUAGUCUGAGCCAGCUUCCAUAUUAAGUGGCUCAUGAAUAUGUGAGUUUAUUCAAGUAUUUACUCAUUCAUAUAUUAUUUGUACGUUAUUACCCUAUGCCUGUUUUUCCCAUUGUGUUUUUACAGGUUUUAUAUUGAAUAUAAGGGUAAUUAUUGUUUCUCUGUGCUCUCACCAUUUUUUACUGUUUUAACAACUCCUUCUUUAUCUUUUUUCUCUGUCAUUAUAGUGGUGUCACGUUACCUGUCCCUUUCAGCUCUGUGCGAUCACAGAAAUGAGGCACAUACAUUUAUCCCUAACUUCCUGGUGCCUUGUUAUGACACCAUAUAUAAUGCGGACCCCUCCUGUUAGUCUCCUUUUAUAGUGUCGCUUUUUGAUGAUGUAUACAGGCUUGUGACAUCACAGUCCUCUGUGACCAAUCACUACCCAGUAUAGGGUAUAUAUACUUUCUGGUUGUCCUUGUUUCCAUGCCGUGUCUGGGCUUUUGUUACGUGAGAGUGUGUUUAUACAGUGUAUUGGAUUUCCUGUUUUUGAUAUUGUUUGACUAUUCUUGCUCUCUGUUAUCCUGAUCUUGGCCUGGCUAUCAAUUGCAUGUAUUUCUGUAAUCCUGACCUCUGCUUGUCUCUCGUUUAUUCUCUGCAUGCUUGCAGACACUUCAUAUAUCUGUGUCAGGCACUAACCCGGCCACUCUAAGUACUGGUACGUGUACUCUUACUGUUACCUUUAGGUUUGCGUGUUAGGGUAACUCAAUUCCUGGCAAGUGGAACAUGAACAUCCAUAACUGUUUAGCGUUCGUAGAUUCUGGAGCAAGUGGUGACUUUCUGGAUUGCUCCUUAACAGAAAAAUUAGCAAUACUUGUUAAUAAUCAAAUUAUUCCACUUAAUGUUGUGCAUGGGUCUUUCUUGAAAUCUGGCCCACUACUGAAACAAACCAUUCCCAUCCGAGCAGGGCCGGACUGAGGAUACAAAGCAGCCCUGAAAAAAAAUCUGUGCCAGCCCCAUAAGAGUCAUUGCGCCAUAUAUUGUCACAUGUAAUAUGUAAGGCUAUGUCUUGCCACACCAGAUGAUUGAGUAAUAUAUAAACAUAUAUAUAACAUAAAGAUAUAUUUAUUUUUCUAAUAUAAAAUACUGGUCCUUUCAGAGUAAAAUGUUUAAUUAAACUGUAAGCAUACUCACAUUCAGACACAGACAAUCUCACUGACACACACAAGUUCAUUGAUACACCAUUUCAUAGACAAACAAUCUCACUGAUAUAAAUAAGCUCAUUGACAUAAAAACACAAGCUCACAGGUGCACACACAUAGGCUCAGUGACAGACAAUCUCACUGACACACACAGACAAGCUUAUUGGUAUACACAGAAACAUAGUACAGACAAACUCUGACACGCACAAGCCUUCUACAGACAAGCUCACUGUCACACACACAUGCUCACUACAGAAAAGCUCACCGAUACACACAUGCUUCCUACAGAAAAGCUCACCGACACACUCAAGAUCACUACAGACAAGCUCACUGUCCCACAAAUGCUCACUACAGACCAGUUCACUGACACACACAUGCUCCAUACAGAAAAGCUCACUGACACACGCAUGCUCCCUACAUAAAUGUUUUUAAUAAACAUGGUCUAGAUAUUCUGUGGCUAACCUUUACUUUUUCCUGCGAAUGAGUCAUAGGCUCAAUGCCACACCUACAAUGGAACAGAUUUGAUGAUAUUCUUCUAAAAUCUCGCUUUAGAGGGAUCUGGUUAUAUGUGCAGUGGAGAACCUCAGGCUUUAUCAAACUGUUCCAAAACAAUCUGACAGAAUUCUUGAGCGGUAUGCACCGAUUAGUAGAGCUAUAACCAAUGACACACAUACACACACAAGCUCACUCACUAGUAGGCACACAUAUGCACAAGCUCACUCACUAGCAAGCACACACAUACACAAGCAGGCACACACACAAGCUCACUCACUAGCAGACACACACACACACACAAGCUCACUCACUAGCAGGCAAACAAACACACAAGCUCACUCACUAGCAGGCACACACACACACGCAAGCUCAAUCACUAAAAGGCACACACACACACACACACAGCUUAAUGUAGUGGUUCUGGUGUCUAUAGCCUGUCCCUGCAGGCUUUUCAAUGUAAACACUGACUUUUCAGAGAAAAUGCAGUGUUUACAUUGCUUCCUAGUGACACCUCUAGUGACAGUCACUCAAACGGUCACUAGAGGUGCUUCCUGUGUCAGUGCUGUAUAGUGUGCAGCACCUACAUUCAGCGCCGCUCUGCAUGGAGGUGCUGAACAUUCCCCAUAGAGACACAUUGAUUCAAUGCAUCUCUAUGAGGAGAUGCUGAUGAUCUCAGCCAUAGAGGCAGGGCCAGUCGAGGGGAGACCAGCACGGUGUGGGGAAAAAAAAGGCGAGUAACACUAUUCCCUUGCCAAUGGAAAGGAUCUGGUAACCUAAACACACACAUACACCAUGACAGACACACACACCAUGACACACACAUAAACCAUGACAGAUAAACGCGCACACACACCAUGACAGACACACACACACCAUGACACACAUACACACACAUACACACACCAUGACUGACCCACACACCAUGACACAGACAGACACACACACACACACACACACACACCAUGACAGACAGACACACACAUAAACACACCAUGAAAGACACACACAAAUAGACACACCAGGACAGACACACACCAUGACAGACCUAUACACUCACACUGACAGACUGACUCAUACAUUAUUGCUACCUGUGGGGUCCAGUGGGCGACCGGCGAGAGGAUUGUGCAGGCACGAGGCAGGCUGGGUGGUCAUGCAGGGCUAUGUAUCAAUGACCCUAUUAUCAGCUGGACCACAGGAAGUGUGUCUUAUUCAUCGUCCCUUUGUUCUACACAGUGCUUUCGAGAAACCUGCCAAAAGGAUUUUAUACAGUUUGUUCAAGAUGCCAAGAUAAAAAGAUAAGUUGCAUUGCCACAUGCACACCAUAUGUUUAAUGAUGUUUUGAUGGAGUAAAAGGAGUAUAAACUUUUCCAUCCAUAAGGGAAUAUUAUUGUCCAAUUGAGCUCAAACCAGGUGCUCUUUUCGGCAAAAUUAUUCCCUGGUGGAGAAUGAACUACAGAUAUUGAAGGAAUAUAUCCAUGAAAAUCUGGCAAAAGGACUCAUCAGAACUUCCAACUCUCCCACAGGAGCUUUGUGGAAAAAAAGAUUGUAGCUUACCCCCCUGGAUUACAGGAAAUUAAAUCACCAUUAAAAACAAGUAUCCACUCUGUCUGAUUGCUGCAUUGAUUGGACAUCUUCAGUAUGCUUCUGUUUAUUCCAAGCUGGAUUUAGGAGGUGCUUAUCCUCCUCCAUGUCAGACAAAGAGAUGAGUUUAAGUAUGCAUUCCAAUCUUGUUACGGACACUGCAAGUAUUCAGUAAUAAUGAUAAAAGGGAAAUAAGGGCUGCACCAAAGUAAAGUAUCAAUAGAUAAUAAAAUAUGAAACAGUCCAAAUAUAAGUGCAAACCUCUUAAGUGGUUAAGUGGCAAUCAUUUUAGCCUGAGUGAUCAGGUCUGUUGCUUUUUGUUUGUUUUGUUUUUCUUUUUUUUUUCUUUUUUAAAUCAAGAAUAAGCAUUUCACUCAUAAACAGCAUUUGCUAUAAGACGAAUCAACGGACUAACUUUUAUUUGAAUAAUUAACUUACAAAUCAGUUACAACUCUCUAUAAGAGUCGGUUCCACUCACAGUCAUCAUAAGGCAACGGGCGUAGACAAAGACUUUAAAACUUAAAGAUUUAAAGACUAAAACGAUUUGGAGAGUUAGAGGUCUCAUAGUUUGAGACAUAGAGGAGGGAAAAAAAAAGGGGGGGGAAAGGAAAGAGAGAAAGGGUUAGCAUACAGUCUAUUGUAUACUAAACAGUGCUAUAUUUCACGGUUUAUUACCACUCUCCACAUUUCAUUACCACCCUCCAUUAUCACAUAUCAGGGAAAGGAACGGGCGAUGCCUCCUUCUAAGCAAACCAAACUAACAGACUCAGCACAGUAUGCUAAAAAAGAUAAGCAAAGACAAACACAGGAGGAAGAUGAAAAGACAGUAUUACGAGAUAUUGGGCAGGAAUCAGAUUCUAUGCAAGAUUGUUCAGAAGAUGCCCAAAUAUCUAAGGUUUUAUUUAAACAGGUACUCCAAGAGUUAAGGAUAACUAUAAAAGAGGAUUUUGCCAAUAUAAUAACAAGUAUACACCAAGAACUAUCGGAACUGAGUGACCGCACCGAUUAUUUAGAGAAAAAACCUGAUGAUUUGUGUAAAGCACACAGCGUACUAGACAAGAAAGUUAGUAGCUUGGAGGAAGAAAAUAAGAAAUUAUGGCAUAAAGUGGUGGACCUGGAGGAUAGGUCACGCAGGAAUAAUGCAAGAUUUAGAGGCGUGCCUGAAGCUAUUCCUGCCGAGAAUUUGGAGGAGUAUAUUACAACAUUAUGUUCUAGUUUGGUUCCGUCUAUGGAUAAAAUUAUACGGGAAAUACAGAGAAUACACAGAUUAGCGAGACCUGUAAGGUUUGCAGUGGAUACUCCACGUAACAUCAUUGUUUGCAUUAACCGCUACACUGCCAAAGAAGCUUUAUUUGCAGCAAUUCGUAAAACUCCAGUUCUACCUUCUCCGUAUGAAGCAUUAACAGUAUAUAACGAUUUAUCCCCUCUGACUAUGGCAAGACGGCGGGAAUUUGCUGCAAUUACUAAAGUAUUACGAGACAACAAAAUAUCCUACCGUUGGGGCUUCCCAACCAAAAUUUUAGUCUGGGAAAAUGGAAAAACGACAGUAAUUGACGACCAAAUCAGCGGCUUGGCUAUCUUAAAAUAAUGGGGGAUUGAGCAUACUGAAGAAGUAACAACUUUUAGUCAUACCCCAAAUUCUAAAAAUAUACCACCAGACUGGAAGACAGCAGGAAAAGCCUCAACAAAAUCUAAAGACAGGACCAAAUUUUUAAUAUGACAUGCACUUUAAAAUAAUCUUAUGCCUUGAAAUAGGUGACUAAUGGUGCUGGCUUAAAAAAUUGGUUUACAGCUGCAUAUGGGCAGGACUUAUAGAAUUGGGGUAAUUUGAUCAGUCCUAUUCAGAUUAUUAAUAGAAGCCUACUGAGCAAAUAAGAUCUAUAAGAGAAAAAAAAAAAAGGAAAAUACCAUGGCAAGGUUAUAGUUAAAACUGCAUAAUAGGAAUAUUGUACUAAGUUAACUACGGAACUGAUACCUUUCAAGACCCUUAUUAGUUAUUAGACAUUUAUGAACUGUAAAGACACAAAUGUAAUGUUCCUGGUAUAUUAUUGAUACUCUCUACAAUUUUUUGUUGUUAUAUAUAAUUAUUGCAAAUUCUGGCUUCUAAUGUUAUAAAGAAAAUAGGAUUAUGGUUUAAAGAUUGAAAUAAAACUCCCGGGGCUUGGCAGAAAGGGAUAUAUUCCCUCCCCAUGCCCAGUGGGGUUAUUGUUUAGUUACACAUGUAGAUAUGUAAAUAUUAGAGUUAUAGAGGCCUGAAGGGCCAUAGACAAAGCUAGGAAUGCUCCUAAGGUAUAGAUAUUACGUUAGUAUAUACAUUUGCAAAGCCUUAAAAUCUGCGCUUUUACCUUAUACCUUAAACAGCAUAGCACUUCGUGUCGCCAUCACCACCACCAUGAUUUAAAUCCUCGAUGAGGAUGCUCACCCUCACGACCUCCAUAGCAUUAGCAUUUUGGCCCCCAUGUAGGGAGCAAUAUAGGGCUUGUUGCCCUCGAGUUCCCCCCUCCCCUCCUUGGUUAUUCCCUUGUGUGGUUACUUUUACCCUUUUGUUCCAGGACAUCCAAUUUGCCUAUCUUUCUACGCAAUACUAAGAAGAUACUUUUAUAAGCGGCCUUAUUGUAAAUCUAUACAACUAUGACAUUUGUUUCAUCUAAUGUAAAAGGUUUGAAUUCCCCAGGUAAACGUAGGUUGCUUCUUAGAGAUCUUAUUAAACAGGGAAUAGAUGUAGCCUGCAUACAGGAGACUCAUUUCAAGAACAAUCAUACUCCAGCUAUUUUUACCAAACAAUUCCCCAUACAGGUGCACUCCCUGUCUAGCUCCAAAUCUAAAGGUGUAUCGAUUUUAAUUCACAAAGAUAUAGUUUACACUCCCCAACGACAGUAUGUGGACCCAGGAGGGAGAUGUGUUAUACUGGUGGGCCAAUUCAAGUGUGCUACUAACGUUGGUAGCGUUAGUGUGCAACUAACGUUGGUAGUGGCUUAUUUCCCCAAUGACUAUCCACAGAAUUUCUUGAUCUCCCUCUUGACCAAAGUUGAAAAAUAUAGACAGGGAGACUUGAUACUCUGUGGGGACUUUAACUGCAUUCAGUCACCAGGGCUAGACACGACCGCAACCCCUAACGAUAAAAACAAACGGAGAAUAGGGCUUACUAAAUUACUAGAUCAAUAUGACUUAUACGAUGCAUGGAGGAUCUUACACCCGAUGGACAUGGAUUAUACCUUUCAUUCACGAGUACAUAACACAUAUACACGCAUAGACACCUUUUUUUCAGCACAGAACACUUCUACCACAAUUAACACGAUGUAAUAUAGGGGAGAUAACUUGGUCGGAUCAUAGCCCUGUGUAUUUAAAUCUAUUGGAGGCGUUUCAAUCUCGAGGCCGGGGGUCCUGGCGAUUGAAUGACUCCCUUCUGUCAGAUGCAGUUUUUGCAGAGGACAUUAGGUUAGGAAUACAAGAAUAUUUUAAAUUAAAUACGACCGAGGAAGUCUCGGACUUCACAAUAUGGUCGGCGCACAAAGCGGAGAGUAAGAGGACGUUUUUUGAAACGUUCUUCUUUCCUAAAGAAACAAAAUAUGUCAGGUCUACUUGAAUGCCAUAGACAAAUAGCUAAAAUUUUUAAACAAAAUAAAACUCGACCUUCCCCUCAAUUAGCGGAACAGCUUACUGUGCUUUACACAUGACUUAAGGAGCUCAAUGGGGAAGAAACUAAGCGCAUGCUCUACAAACUCAGAGCUAAUGUAUAUCAUAGUGGCGGGAAAGCCAACAAAUAUUUAGCUUCUAGACUUCGUAAUAAAUACUCUAGCUCUAAGAUACCCUAUGUAAUGGGAAACGAUGGUCUAAAGAAAAUCACUCCCAUAGACAUUAGUCAAGAAUUCGCAAACUUCUACGCUAAAUUAUACAAUUUGAAAGAAGGUAGGAGUACCCAUAAUGUUAGCAUAGAAGAUAUAACUCAAUUUUUAAGUCAAGCUGAAUUACCCCAGAUUACUAAUAUGAAACUAGACACACUACUGAAGCCCACUGAGCUCACGGAGGUGUUAGAUAUAAUUUCUAAACUACCACAAGGGAAGUCACUGGGAGCAGAUGGGUUGACGAAUGCCUAUUAUAAAAAAUAUGCCCAGGAUUUAGGCCCGCAUCUCUUAAAAGUUUUCCAUAGGGCUACGGCCACAGAUACACUUCCGACGGAGAUGAUCCGUGCUACCAUAAUAACUAUUCCAAAGCCUGAUAAGUCCUUUAAUGCAUGUAAAAAUUAUCGCCCAAUAUCGCUUUUAAAUGCCGAUGUGAAGAUCUAUGCGAAGAUCUUGGCAAAUAGGCUUAACGGAGUGUUACCAUCCCUCAUUGGAGAUGACCAGACAGGGUUUAUACAAGGGAGACAGGGGAUGGAUAAUACUAGAAAAUUUGCAUUGAUAUUGGAGCACUUAAGAGGGGCCAGAGAAGGCGGACUUUUAAUAGCAUUAGAUGCUGAAAAAGCUUUUGACCGACUCAGCUGGCCCUUCCUGCAACAGACGUUGUGUGCAUAUGGGCUCCCACAACAACUAUUGACACAGAUUUUUGCUUUAUACUCAGGCCCUUCGGCCCAAGUGUUACAGAAGGGCUUCAUGUCCGAUCCAUUUAAGUUAACUAAUGCAACGAGGCAGGGGUGCCCGUUGUCCGCAUUACUGUAUGUGCUGGCACUAGACCCCCUUUUGCGAAUCAUCCAAAAUCAACCUCAUAUAAAAGGUAUUCAAGUUAAAGGAAUAGAAUGCAAAAUUAGUGCCUUCGCGGAUGAUAUUCUACUAUAUAUCACCGACCCCAUUAAUAUCCUUUCUACACUUAUGCAAAUAAUAAAGGAAUAUGGCCUCUGUUCUUAUUACUUAUUAAACACUAUUAAAAUGCAGGCCUUAGGAAUAGAUUUACCCUCUCAAGCUAUAGAAAUAUUACAUAAGACAUAUCCCUUUGAAUGGAGACGUGAUAACAUCAAAUACCUAGGGAUAUUGUUUUCUAGAAGACUUACUGAUCUGAGUGCAGGUAACUAUAUUAGGGUAUGGAAGGAGUGUAAGCAAACUCUGAUAAAAUGGAGAUCCCUUUUUCUUAUCUGGACCGAAAGAAUAGCAGCUAGUAAGAUGUCUAUACUUCCUAGAUCACAAUAUGUUUUUCGGAAUCUUCCAUUAUUUAUGCCACAGUCUUAUUUUAAAAAGAUUCAGAGGGAUAUGACCAAUUUUAUCUGGGACAAGGGGAGACCCCGAGUAUCCAUGAAACUGUUGAGAGCACCGGUUAGAGCAGGAGGCCUGGCAGUUCCUGAUGUUCGCAUUUAUUACCAAUCCCCCCUCAGUGGAUUCGAAUUGAACAACAUAUGAUGUCACCAUAUGACAUCACUCAUAUAUUAUGGCUUCCUAAACAGUUGACCCCCCUUAAAAGCAGUUCCUGCCCAAAUUGCUUUGUUAAUGCAAAUCUGGGAUAAAUAUAGAUACAAGCUGAGUAGCAAAUAUCCAAUUUCCCUCGCUACUCCUACGGAGGCUCUCACAUAUUGCAUUCCCACCUUUUAUACUAAACCAUGGCGGGAGAGGGGUCUUACACAUGUAAUUCAUUUUUAUGUUAAUUUAAGGCUACUGGAUUUCCGAACCCUCCAAUUACUUUAUGGGGUCCCAUUGACCUCUCAUUUCUCCUACAGACAUCUACAUUCUUUUUUAUACAAACAAGACACACAGAUUUCAUCUGGUUGUAUAACCAGUGAACAACUUACGAUAUUGGAAAAAUUGUGCAUAAAUAAAAAGCUACCUGCUUUAUGUAAACCAAUCUCCAAAUGUUACCAAUUGUUAUUAGAUUACACACCGUUUUCGGAGGCUAUACCAGGAAAGCAAUGGGCAAAGGACUUGACCAUAGAGCUCACCCAGGAACAGUGGACUAAUAUAUCUAUAAAUACUAAGAAACGUAUUAAAUCAGUUCCACUUAUUGAGCAAAACAAGAAAAUGAUUUAUAGAUGGUACAUGGUGCCAGAGCUGUUACAUAAAAUGUUUCCCUCCACUUCACCCACUUGUUGGAGAUGUCAAAAGAAUAUUGGAUCAGUUAUACAUAUAUGGUGGAACUGCCCAUUAAUCCAACCCUUUUGGGAAGCUGUACAUACAUUGUUACAAGAUAUCACAAAAGUUAAACUAUUGUAUGUUCCCCUUACGUACUUGUUAUUGCAUAUCCCCCCACAUACACCCAAAUAUCUCCAAAAAUUAAUCUUCCAUAUUGCACUGACGGCUCAACACCUUAUUGCAUGAGCCUGGAAGACUUUAAACAUUCCCACGAUUCAGAAAAUACAUUCUGAGAUGGAGGAGCAGAGGCUUUAUGAGCGCUGCUUUAUAAGUAUAUAUCCAUCUAACCAAUGUGGGAUAGCGGCAUGGGACACUUGGGACAAGUGGAGAUGGGUACACCCCACAUAGGGGGAAGCAUUAAUGUUCCAUAAAGAUGUUAUCGCACUGUUUUAAUACAUUUUGAUUUCAAGUACGUUAGCACUAAAUUAAAUUUUAUGCUCCAGUUAUAUAGAAAUUUGUGAUCUAAAUGUGAUUAUACUGAUGAAGGCCAUAUUGAGUACCAAAGUAUUGUGUAUUAUUAUGGAUUACCAUGGAUAAUUAUGGUUCAUUGUGUAGUAAGUGAUAUAAGAUGCUUGGAUGUCCUCCCUUCCCCUCCCCCCCCUUUCCCGCCUUUUGUCUUCUGUACCCUUUCCCUCCCCUUCCCAGGUCUUUUAUAAAUCAAAUAAAAAUUGUCAGAUUGCAAAAUAUAAGUGCAACGAGUCUAGAUGUAAUGAUCUAAGUUAGAUUAGAUAAAGAAUAAAGUGCUUGAUCGGGAGUAAUAUCCUCACUGUCUUUUUCCAGGCAGAUCCACUCAUAUAAAAAGACAAAGCAUAGAAAUAACUAAAUAGUGUAAUAUGUACAGUCCAAUGUAUUCAAUAUGUUGGAGAGAUGGUAAUAAACUCACAUUUGUUAAAGCUAUAGCUAGCUCUAGUGUGAAGGGCGCACAGCGGUACAAUCUCCACUUAUGGGAUAUACAGUGAGCUUCUUCCGUCACGGGGUAUGUUCAACACUCAGGAGAAGGGUAAAAGGAGACAACUAAUAGUGUUCACUGGAUAAAAUAGUAGUAACAAGAUAGGUUAAAUGGUACUCACAAGCGAAGAGCAGGCUAACUAGCCGAUAUAUAAAAUUUGGGUGGAGAUAGACACUUAAGAGAUUUAUGGGAAAAAAUGGGGGUUAACCCCUAAUACGUAAAUUCAAAUGAAAAAAAAAUAAAACAAAAUUAAAUCUCCAAAGGAGUAUCUAUCUAUGUGAGAACAGUCAGUGUACUUAAAACGUAGCUUUUAUUCUAGUAAAUAAAAAGGUGCAAUAAAUAUAACAAAAGAAAGAAAAAAUUAUAAAUAAAAUAUGAAACAGAUAGGUCUCCACUGUGUAUUGGACAAGCAAAUACCGAAUAUUCAAAUAGUACUUGAAGUAGUAAGUAGUACUAUAGAUAAAAAAAAAAUUAUAUUUAGAUAUAGAGUGUGAUCGGUAUCUGGGUUCAGACUAACAUCUAUAUCGUUCCAGAAUAACCACUCAAUUGUAACGGCUAAAUGGUGGAGAGGAGAGGGAAUAAGAGGGAUUACUAGUAGUAGCCUUAAUAUAGAUAGAGAAAAAGGCUAAUGUGCCUUCGAGGGCACACCUUACCCAAAUACUACUCUAACACUAAGUUGCCCACCAUGCCCAAUCCUCCAAAUGAUUCAAGGCUAGAGAAUAGAGAAACUGGAACAAUAAUAAAUGAAAAUAGAGUAGUUAGCAACGGAAGUAGCGACAUAUCGCCGCAACUAUAUAUGUGGUGACUUCACUGUUAACUAUAGUAUAGCAGUAUUUAACCCCACCAUGCCCAAACCUCAAAUACAAGAGACUAAAGUACAUUGAACUAUCUGUGGCUGCUGCUUGGGAAAUGUAGUUUUAACAUCGGUGCGCACAAAGCUGCAGCUGACAUUAGGAUAUGUAUACAGUAAUGCCCUAUGUUCUUUGCAAUGCCCCUUCUUCAUUCCAGCACUUUCUCAAUUAUUUUUCAUAACCUCCUUGACCAAUACAUAGUGCCCUACCUGGAUGAUCUCCAGGUCUUUUCUCCACACCUGUGUGCUCAUCAUCUCCAAAUGCCUGAGGUAUUGAAACGUGUACACCAGUUUUAUGCAGUGAUCGAAAAGUUUAUCUUUGAAAUAGACUGUGUAAAGUUUCUUGGAUUCAUCAUCUGACCAGGAAAGGUGGAAGCAAUGCUCCAGUGGCAGAAACCAUAAAGUGGACGUUGCCAAAUUCUACAGAAGAUCCAUUCAAAACGUCUCCAAAUCAAUAGAACUAGAACCACUCACACAACUUCUCAAUAAGGAGGUGAAUCUUCCUCUCUAUCUGGAAGGAUUUCCUAUGUCACACAGUAGAAUUCACGUAGCUUAAUGGAUGUUCAUCUUUAUGGUAAACCUUCAAUAAGCUGCCAGUAACAGAGAAAGAUUGUUCUUAUAAAGUUAGUGGUGGGAGCUCCACUUUACCUUCUGGUUACGUGUUCAAAGUAAAUGUGUAAUUUUCAUUUAGUGAAUCCAUUUCCUCUUUUGUAGCAUUAAGCCAGAACUGUGAGUAUUAUUAGUAUUGUACAGAUGGCAUAUUGGUCUCUCUGUGGCAAUCCUCUUCACCAUUUAAUAUGUUUGAGUUUACUUUUUAACAGCUUUCUUCGUAACAAAUUUCACACGCUGUGUUUGAGAACCAUUCUGGUGUCUGGUUAAUGCACUAGAUAAGAAGGACUGCUUUUUUCAUAUCCAACAAAGAUCCCUUUCACGCACUUUGAAUAUAACUUAUUUCUAUCAUACUUACAUGCAAAACCUUCGGACCCAAAAAUGCUUUAUUUUAGAAAGUUUAAAUAUUGUGACUGUUACCAGAUAAUGGGGAGUUUCUACUAGAAUGUUAUGAAAGCACCUGUUUCCGAUUUGGUUGAAUAUGGCCAUAAUUCUUUUGGCAAAUAAUGUUCGAUAAACAGACAUCUGGCCAUUUCAAAUAGUGUUCUGUAGUUUCUCUUAGUAGUACCACUUUGAUCGGGUGAGUAAGGUGCUGAGGUUUCAUGUCUAAUACCUUGCUUGUUUAGUAGCGACUGUAAACUCUCAGCCAUGAACUCAGUACCCUUGUCAAAUCUUAUACGCUUUAUGUUUCCAAAUGGGGCUGUGUCAUGAACUUUUCAACAGCUAACACUGCAUUACAUUUUCAGGAAGUAUACAAACACUGCUGCUAGGUAGUUAACAAUGAAUAUCAUAGCUUAUUUGAAAUAUUAUUUAGCUUGUCCUUUUAUGGGACCUGCGAAGCCAGUAUGCAGUAGUUUUAGCACACUCUGCCCUCUUUGGCUGCAAUUGUAACAAACAGCAUCAACGUUGUCCUGUUAUCUUUAAUAUAUAUACAUCAAAACCAAUACAUAAAAAAGCAUUUAAAAAUCAUUCAAAGAAUAUUAAGUACAAAACAUAUCAAUAUAUUAGAUCCAGCCACCAAUUAUGAAUGACAAUAUACUAACUUAAUUUAACAAUAAAUACAACAAAGAAAUAAUAGUCAAGAAAGUAAAUACAUUUAUAGAAAAAUCAGACUACAUACCGAGAGUAAAUAGAAAUAGAUAAGAAAUGAAUGAAAGUGUUGGAUACCCCAACAUUUCGGUGUAACCCCCUUUUCAAGGGAUGAUUCAAACUUUAUUCACAGAACAAGCAAGGAAAUCAUAUUAUGGGAAUCCACAAUAUAACAUUUUAAACAGUGGGAAUCAAAGGUAGUAGCAGCAUGGCCUUAUCCAUAGCUGGGAUCAGUGGUAACAAAGCUGAGUGUCUUUAGUUUGAAUGAUUAAUCCAGGAAGAGAGCGUAUAUAUCUGAAACCAUAAGAGAAUAGCAGUUUCUCCAGUCAGUUCCACUUAGUACAAUACAAUAUUGGUGCACAGGUUCACUGACUUCCAGAAAAUAUUGAAAAAAAUAUUUAAAACAUUUAACACAAAAAUGUAAAAAUAUAUACAUAUACAUAAAAUAUGACAGGCGCAAUUAUGUUCUGUUGUCAGAAAUGCACUUAUCUGAAAUGUUAAAGUUCAGUUUGAAUAACAAAACGACACAUAUUCAUAUCACAAGUAACACUCUUAAUUUAGUCGUCAAACGACAACAAGAUUACUAAUAUGUGAUUAAGAGUUCAAGAACAUCCGCAUAUUAGAUAUUAAUUCAACCAUUCCUUGAUGGAAGUCAGCAUAGGAACAGUAAAAAGCUAAAUUUUAUUAAAAGUGUAAAAAGUAACAUUUGUUUGAAAAGUAGAAUUGUUGCAUAUAGUUUAUUUAAUUUAUAAUGUUUAUAUUGUAUCUAACCUAUAUAUAAUAUAUAAUAAUUUUUCAAAAAUCACUAUGAUCUAGUCAAUUUUCCAGUCACAUUGACAUUGAUUUUCCAUUUUCUUUUUUAUAGGUUUUUUUAUGUGCCAAAAUAGUUUUUUUAGCUUCUGAACCUGUUGAAGAGGUUUCAGGGCAAGGAAUACCAAAUAAUCUGGGGUACUAUGUUCUCCCCCAAUAUUUCUAUGUAAAAAUGAAAUUGUACGAAACUUUAAUUUCUGGUGUCUCCGAUCAGCAGUCUUUUCAUAAAAAUUGAUGGUUUGUACUGCACAAAUUGAACAAGCAAAAGGAAAAUAAAUAACUGUACAUAACUUGGAUGUCAGGUGUCCCUGAUCAGCAAUCUCUUCAUACAAUUAAUGGUUUGUCUUAUGUUUGUGCACUAGCUAUGCAUUCUAUUUCUCAAAUUGUUUAUUAUAUUUAUAUGAAUAAUAAUACAUCUAUUAUAUAUUAUUCAGUAUUGUACAGGACACAGAAUUAGCAGCACCUAUGACCAUCCUUCAACACAUAAAAAAAAAUUUCUGAUGCCUGAUCAAAUAAACUUACAGUCCAAG